AUGCAGGCUCAGCUGAAGGAUCUCUCUAUGCUUUUGAUGGCAUUCUUCUUUGCUAUCACAACACCCGCCGGGAUCGCUGCAGGUUCCGCCAUGGCAUCAUUCUACGACCCGUACAGCCCCCGUGCGUUGGUGGUGGAGGGUAUUCUUAAUGCCACGUCGGCUGGUAUACUGAUCUAUAUGGCACUGGUGGAUCUCAUCGCGGCUGAUUUUCUUGGCCGGAGGAUGAGCAACAGCCCAACCAUCUUGCAGGUUGGCGCAUAUGUCUCCCUGUUUCUUGGGGCCCUAGCUAUGGCAUCCCUUGCAAUCUGGACUUAG
rnacentral:rRNA from 1 species